rnacentral:misc_RNA from 1 species
GAUGAAGAACGUAGCGAAAUGCGAUACUUGGUGUGAAUUGCAGAAUCCCGUGAACCAUCGAGUCUUUGAACGCAAGUUGCGCCCGAAGCCAUUAGGCCGAGGGCACGCCUGCCUGGGCGUCACACGUCGUUGCCCCCCCAUCUACUCCUUCGGGAUUGCGGGGGGCGGAUGAUGGCCUCCCGUGCGCCUCGUCGCGCGGUUGGCAUAAAUGCCAAGUCCUCGGCGACGCACGCCACGACAAUCGGUGGUUGCGAAACCUCGGUUGCCCGUCGUGUGCGGUCGUCGCGCAUCGAGGGCUCGAAAAAAUUGCCGGGCUCCGGCUCGGCUUUCAACGCGACCCCAGGUCAGGCGGGGAUACCCGCUGAAUUUAAGCAUAUCAAUAAGCGGAGGA